AUUGAACGCUGGCGGCAGGCCUAACACAUGCAAGUCGAACGAGCGGCGGACGGGUGAGUAAUGUCUGGGGAUCUGCCCGAUAGAGGGGGAUAACUACUGGAAACGGUCGCUAAUACCGCAUACUAUCGGAUGUACCCAUAUGGGAUUAGGUAGGUGGUGAGGUAACGGCUCACCAAGCCGACAAUCACUAGCUGGUCUGAGAGGAUGACCAGCCACAAUGGGACUGAGACACGGCCCAGACUCCUACGGGAGGCAGCAGUGGGGAAUAUGGCGCAAUGGGGGCAACCCUGACGCAGCCAUGCCGCGUGAAUGAAGAAGGCCUUCGGGUUGUAAAGUUCUUUCGGUAGGGAGGCGUUAACUACAGAAGAAGCACCGGCUAACUCCGUGCCAGCAGCCGCGGUAAUAC
rnacentral:rRNA from 1 species